rnacentral:lncRNA from 1 species
UUAAAGUUCGUCUGCAGACUAAGUUCUCUUGUAAUCUAUCAUAUCUGGAACUUUGUGCCGGAGAGGUGGCCACCUCUCACGGUCACUUGACCGGCCAACCCGCUAGAUGACUCACGGUCACUGGUGUACACUAGCCCUGGCAGGAUAGCUAUCAACUGCUCAGGACCCGAAUUCGAUUACAUAACUGGCAAAGCCACAUCAGAUAGAUAUCAUACUAAAAUUCAAACAUUUUAUGGCAAGACAACAGUUGUAAUAUUUUUCAGUUCAAAG